rnacentral:lncRNA from 1 species
GUUGUGGUUAGUUUAUGUGCUACAUAUUUAUUUUUCGUUCAUUUUUUAAAAUAAAAAGGCUGUUAGUUUUCUCGUUUGAAUUAUUUUACAUUGUCAUUUCUAAGCCUUUUAUAGCUGACUAUUUGGUAUGGGCUUUGCUCAUUGUUAAAGGCCGUACGGUGACCUUUAGUUGUUAAUUUCUGUGUCAUUUUGGUAUCUUGUGGAGAGUUGUCUCAUUGGCAAUCAUACCACAUCUUCUUUUUUAUAUUACCCUGUCCUCAGUUUUAAUGAACUUUUGUUUUAGGCCUAGGACCCCAAGUUAUUUACUUGUAAUGGUAUUGAUGGAUUGAGUUAAGAAAUCAACUUUUCUUCAUCACAUAAAUCUUUAACAGAAAAAUUAAAAUCCAAAUUGUUAAAAAAAAAGUUGUUUCUUAGUUCCAUAUUUAAUUUACAAUCUAAUAUAAACUGUUUUUCGUUUUCUAAUGUUUUACAUUUAAGGCAUAACCUCUCAAGGAAUAUUAGAAUGUCUGCCUUUUUCUAUUUUUAAAUUAUGGUCACUAAUUCUUAGUUUUGGUUAUCAUUUUUUUUGUACUUUCUCGUUUUUUUUUAUAUAAACUAGACCUUUGGUUUUCCCGUUUGAAUUAUAUUACACUAGACAUUUUUUUAGGCCCUUUAUAGCUUGCUGUUAGGUGCGAGCCAAGAGUCCGUGAUGAACACCGUACCUUGACCUAUAAUGGACAUAGGAAGAUGUGGUAAUAGUUCCAAUGGCAUUGAUUUUUAAAUAUCCUGCUAUGAGAACAUACUCACCCAUUCUCGUCCAAUGGUAAAUCAGUAUUUUC